UACGAAGGGGGCUAGCGUUGUUCGGAAUUACUGGGCGUAAAGGGCGCGUAGGCUGUGCUGUAAGUCAGGCGUGAAAUCCCCGGGCUCAACCUGGGAAUUGCGUUUGAUACUGCGGCGCUGGAAUGCAGGAGAGGAUGGCGGAAUUCCCAGUGUAGAGGUGAAAUUCGUAGAUAUUCGCAAGAACACCAGUGGCGAAGGCGGCUGACUGGACCAUUACUGACGCUGAGGCGCGAAAGCGUGGGGAGCAAACAGG
rnacentral:rRNA from 1 species